GUUCACCUCCAGGUGGGGCCGGCGCGCCGACCCCGCGCCCCCUGCCCCACCACUGCCCUCCUGCUGCUCCUCCUCGUCCUCCUCAUCUCCGCCUUGGUCCCCAACACCUUAACGGCAUCGGCAAGCGGGACAUGAGGGGUGCAGUAGCAGGGAGGAAUGCGGGUGGAUGCCAAGAGCCGGGGACCAGAGCACGUACCGCAGGCGGCAGCACCACCCAGCUGCCACACGCAGCUCCCCCUGCUCCCGCCCCCCUCCCCGGCCUCACCUGGCUCCGGCGUGCCCCCCACCCCCACCAGGCGCACGGGCGGGUGGCGCUCCAGCAGCCGCUCCAGAAGGCUGGGGGUGUGGGGGAACAGGUGUGGGGGAGGAGGUGGUGUAGGGGAGCGGGAGGUGGGGCUCAGGGCGCGGAGGCAGGCGUAGCCUAAGGAGUGCGGGGACAGGUCGCGGGGGCGGCGGCACAGCUGCUUCCCACUGGCACCCGGUGCUGGCGGUCUGGUCCGGGGUCCGUUUGGGGGCGCGCCCAUGUGCUGAGACCCCUGGACUCAAUUCCCACUAACCGUAUCACGACAACCCGAAAACCCAGUACAUAUUCAGUUGUUACGCGCUUUUGUGUCCCCCGUGGAUGGCUGCCCCCGCCCGCCGCCCCACCUGAGCGCCCUGGCGGACAGAUGUGUGCGGUGCGCCUCGGCGUUGAGCACCAGGUGCAUCAGGGCCUCCUGCACGUGCCUGGGGGGCAGGGGGGGAGUGUGUGUGUGUGUUGAGGGGUGGGGGAGCCAGAGCGGAGGGGGUCAGGGGCGGCUGACAGGGCGGUCAGGCGGGCGUGGUGCACCGCGGGCCGGCAGAUGCAGGUGCGGGUGCGGGUGCAGCUGCGGGAGGCAGAGGGUCGCGGGCAGCCACCUGCCGAGUCUCCCUACGGGCCUGCGGGCCUCCGGGCCGGCACAAGGACAAACACACCCUCUGCAGUCUGCACCCACUGCGCCCCCCCCCCCCCGGCGGCACCCACUUGGGCGCGGCUGUGUCGGGCGGCAGCAGCAGCGGCUCCAGCAGGUCCAGGCAGUGGUGGCCUGCAGGAGGAGGGGGGGGAGGGGUAGGGAGAAGGAUGGGGAGGGAGGGUGGACGGGUAGGUGGGGGGGGAGGGGGGAGGUGGAUGCAUAGGGGCCGGAGUGAUGAGCGUGGUGGUGGUGGUGGUGGUGGUGGUGGUGGUGGUGGUGAUGAGAAGUGGUGACUGGGCCGUGUCUGGUGCCUAUGACCCAGUGCCAGCAGGCGGCGUCACUUUCAAGGUGCAAGCCAGGUCACCGGUCCCCUCGCACAUAGCUCACCGUUCUCCUCCCAGACCCUCGCCGCCUCCGCCGCCGCCGCCGCCUCCGCGCCGGCCAGGGCCUCCUUCACCGCGCCACCGCCCGCGCCGUCGUCGUCGGCCGCCGCACCGCCGCCGCUGUUCCCCGCCCUGCAGACCCAGACCCACACAUCACGGCUUAGUCACGCCUGCUAGUUACCGGUAGCACCUGUGCCUGCAACAAGGGCAGCUGUCCACGCGGCCAUGACACCAGGCGUCACUUGAGGCGACACACCGCAUGACGGUGAGUCGCCCGCGCACCCGCAGUGCCAUGGAAGCGCAGUGCCGUGUCCCACACCGCAGCCUCACGGCCCAGGACCCCACCUGCCCCCACCCAUACAAAACCCCAGUGCCCCACCUGCGCCGUUCACUCCGCCGGGCGCCUGCAGCUGAGGACCCCGUGCCACCGCCGUCCUCCGCAUAUCGCUCCAGCAGCGGGCUGGCGUUUGCGUACUUCUCGUAGAGCUGCCACACCGUCUGCAGCGCGGCCUCAGUCAGGACCCGGUGCACCUGCUGCCGGACACCGUCCCCGCCCCGCACGGCCUGACGCUUCUGAAUCUUUUCAUUGCGCUGCGACAGCAACGGGGCAAGGUUCCGGCGACCGUCGGUCAGCUCGCAGACAAGGUUUGGACGUUGAAGAAUUGAGCGCCAACUUCAGCAGUGCUCUUGGCAAAACCGCAGAACAAUACCUGCUGCUCCUGGAUAUUGUUAAAGUUUGUAGCUCGCGUUGAUUUUCGCCGUGUCGACAUUUCUGCUUUGGCGAAAAUUUGAAGUUGACAGAGUUCACCGGCACAGCCUAUGAGUAAGUUUGCCGCAGCAGUAAGACAUCUAAGCUAUAUAUGCGUGCUGUGUUUCGAGGUCGAGACGUUGGUAGGGAUGACAGCCAAAUGACAGCCAGCCGCACGAGGCCUUGCCAGCCCCCCACCACAGGCCACCACUAGCGGACCGCCAUGCGAUCCAUGGAGCGUGCCCCUAAGGGCGUCAAGUGACAGGGGACGCAAUGUACAGUGUUAAAAUGCCGAGCACGAGAGGAGGCUGGUGUAGAAGUGGCGACUGAAGUCUGAGUAUGAUCUGAGUGCCAGAGUCGUAACAAACGUUGGACCAAAGGUACUGCGGAUGCUGGCGUGCGCACAACCUCCAGGACCGGUGACCGGGUCGGGGUCGGGGUCGGGGUCGGGGUCGGGGUCGGGGUCGGGGUCGGGGUCGGGGUCGGGGUCGGGGUCGGGGUCGGGGUCGGGGUCGGGGUCGGGGUCGGGGUCGGGGUCGGGGUCGGGGUCGGGGUCGGGGGAAUUGGAGUCUGGGGAAAUGGGAUCCAAGGGACGCAAAAUCGCUCGUUUUCGCCCGCGCAGCUUCUAAAUACUUACGUAUUUAUGUAAUAUUAUUAGCUGGGCCAACGCCCUGUCAAAUUGCGAGGGCGCGCGCGGACUUCCCCCGCGUGCCUGCAUCUCGGCCCCGCACCCUGCCGAACCAACCCCCCCCCCAGCACCAAAACCCGUCAUACCGUCCCCCACCGCGAGAUACAGACUCCACUAUAUAUAAGUAAAAUGUGAUCUGGGUGCCGGUGCUGGGGGGUCGGGGCUGUCCGCCUGGACGUCGGACGGUUGGACGGCGCGAAGUAAGUUCAAGUUCGCCCUUGCGGCGAAACCGUUCAGCCUUACACGUUUUGCAAAUAUAAGAAUAACAUAGUCUCAGCUUCAUAGGUCUCACGUUGUGGGGCAGCCAGCACGGCACUAAUAAGGACAGGUGCUCGCACUCGCAGCUUACGCGCCUACGGGCAUCCUGACAAAUACAUAAGUGCUAAGAUUGAAGCAAUCUACGUAUCUGAUAGUUACCUUGGACCAGCACCAGCCUGUGCGAUGAAAUCGGCCAAAGAAUUGUCUUUCUUGAGGCAUCGGACACCAUUCUAUGCGUUAGAGUGCGCUAAAUAUGGUUUAGCCUCAGUUACUUUCGUGAUCGAGGUUCCCUGGCUCGAGUCGGGUAUCGGAACUUUGUCGCUGGGGCCUCUUCUACCUUGUGUACAAUAGCUUCGUGUAAUGGAUGGCUUAAAUAAUGGCUAUGUGCAGUCGGCGGGGGCCGGGAGCGUGUGUUUGCCAACUUGACAGGGGCCCCCCCUUUCUGAAGUGUAUAGGUGCGCCGCGCCCCCUGCGGGGGCCGGGGCACGCUAACCCCCCGCCAGCCCUCGCCGACCGGUAAGGCAGGACGGGCACGUGGAUGGCAGGGAGACGCAUACCUACUGGCAGCAAGGGGCAAGCGCAGCUUGAGAUGCCGAUUGACCGCGACACCUGGCACCGCACGUCGUACGAACUGCACGUACGGUAAUUCCCAUAAGCUCGCCUCACUUGCGGGGACGCGACCAGUAAUUCCUGUAAGCACCGGCGCCUGCGCUCCUCCCUACGUCUGUCACAUUCUGUUCGAGCCUCUCUGUACGGUAUGGCAACCUGUGGCCUUCAUUCAGCGCGACAGUCUCUCACGCCGUCAUUCCUUGGCCGCCUGCCGGAGUGCACUCCCCGCUCUCACACCAAGACCUCCCCACCACCCGCCGGGUUCGGCAUUUGCCACACGGCGCGCCUUGAAGCCGACACGCCAACACGCAGGGGCCUGACGCAUCAGCACACAGUUCCCGAACCAUGAAGGCAUCAAGCCCAAAGGCCACCCAGCGCCCCCUCCACCACAGCGUCCAUGCUGCGCUCACUGGCAGCAGGCGCCACAACGGGACAGCAGAACCUGGCACGUGCUUCAGUACGUAGCAUGUACAACCACUCAUAAUCGCCCGCCUGUCGGCGCGCCUCGCACCUCGCACCUCAAUUCAUGCCCAUGAUCGUGCAUGAAUCAAACUCCAAUUAUAUAUGGUCCCGCCUGCAUACCGUAGCGUCCGUUCGUAGUAACCUCCGUCUCGAGUCUCUCAUAGUCUCAUGGCCAUGGCACAUGGCGCAUGGCAUAUGCCGCCGUAGUUAUCAUUGCAUGCGAAUCCACCAGCCCUAUCCUGGCUGUAAUGCAUUGAGCCGCAUUGAGGACCUUAUUCAGUGUGUGUCUUGCACCCGAGGUCUAUCACGCUUUCGCCUGAUCCUGUAGUCUACUGCCGAGCAGGUGGCCCGCCUCUACUCUGACAUCCCGUCCUCCGCCUCCGCCGCCUCCACCGCCCCACUGCUGACCUCGCCCACGUCAUCCCCACCCCCCGCACGAGCCACAGCCCGCUGCUGCGGAUGCCGCACCGCGCCCCCGACUCCUGCUGCUGCCGCCGCCGCCACCGAGGGGCCCUCACCGGCACGCCGCACCUUGCCCGCGGCACCACCUGCUGCGCGGCCGCCCGCCCCGCCGCCGCCACCGCCUGCACCGCUAGUCUGAGCCUCGUCGGCCUCAGCGCCACCCUGGGUGCCCUCAGCGCCGGUCGCGGCCGCGCCGCCAGCCGUGAUGCCACCUCGUGCCCCCUGCUGCUGCUGUCGCUGCUGCUGCUGCUGCUGCGGGCGCUGCUGUGCCUGCUGUGCCUCUGGGCGCCGUCCGCCACUGGCCGCCGAGGCCGCCCCGCCGCCCGCCUCACUGGCCUCGCCGUCGUACUUCCGCUCCACCUUGCGAGCCGGCCGCCCCGCGCCACCACCCGCCGCCGACGUGGUCGCGCCGCCGUUGCCGCUGGUGCGGUAGUGCGGCCCCGCGCCGCCAGUGGCCCGGCUGACGCCCGCCUCGGAGCGCUCCGGCUGCGCGCCCCCUCCGGCCCGGCGGCUGAGGCCGAAGCCCCAGCCGCUGGCCAUGGACUCGGUAGCGCCGGUGUGUGUGCUCAUGGUGAGGCGGUUGCUGCCGCGGUUGCUGUGCUGCUGCCGGGGGGGCACCGUCUACAAGGGGAUGGGGUGGGGUGGGGUGGGGGCAGUCAGCAACACAGCCAUAUAGGGUGGGGGCAGUCACACCGGACAGGGACAGAAACACGCGGUGUGUGGUGGCGGACCGCAGGAGACUGCAGCAGCACCAUUAUGAUAAGGCAGAGGCAGGAGCGCCCCCCCCCCACUUUAAAGCCGCACCUUGAAUGCGGACGGCUGCAGCAUGCGUGUGGCGGCCAGCAGCACCUCGGGCCUCACGCCGCCGCCCAUACCGCCCGGGCCCAGGCCGCCCGCCACACCCGACGCCAUGAGUGCUGCCGCGGCCGCCGCAGUGGCGGGGUCCAGUCCAAGCGCCACAGCCGCCGCCGCAGCCAUGGCCGCCUGGUUGGCGCCAGCUAGCGCAGCCGCGCCCUGGCCCGGGGCGGCUCCCGGAGGAGCCCCGCCGGCGGCAGCAGCAGCUGCUGCAACGGCCGCUGCCUGCUGCUGCUGUUGCUGCUGUUGCUGCUGCAUCAUGUACUUCUCGCGCUUCUUGAGGGGCGGCAAGGGGGGCGGCGCACCGCUGCCCGAGCCCUCGCCGCUGCCGGCAGCCCUGCGGACACGGUGAGCGCCAGGACCACACACUGUUAGCCCAGGAAGGCGAGAGCAGUAAACAGCCGGGCAGGUUGCAGCCCCAUACCUGGUGCCCUGCCCCGUACCUGCCUCCCAAAGCUGCCUCCCCCAUGCAGUCAUGCCUCCCCGAUGCACCCCGCACCACACCACACCCACCUGGGCGCAGGCACCAGCGACUGCACCAGCUGCAUGUGCGCCGCCAGCGCGUCACCGGGCUGCAGGCCCGCCGUCGCCGCCGCCGCCGCCGCCUCGUCGUCGUCGUCCUCUUCGUCGUCCUCCACCACUGCCGGCGUGUUGCCCAGGGCCUGCGCGGCAGUAGCGGUCAGGGCGGUGUCGCGGUGUGCGCAGGGUUGUCGGAGCCGCACAGCGUGCACGGGCCACAACAACGCACCAACAGGCCACGCCAGUCGUCUACACCCUUCCUCCCUGCCCUGGACCUGGGACCUGCCCGUCCAGGCCCGUGUGCAGGUGGGGCCCGCAACAGGUCCUCCCCGCACCUCACGCAUCCACAUCCGCCCUUUCCAACCCCACCCUUGCACACCUGUGGGUCCACCAGCCCCAGCUCGCCGAAGGCCGUGUUGGGGUCCUGCCACCACUUGGUGGGGCCCACAGCCGGCACCGGCACUGCAGCAGAAGGCGGCGCCGCUGGAGCCCCUGCCACACCCGGAGCCCCUGUCUGCAGCUCCUGCUGCCCCUGCGCCUCCAGCCCCUCCGGCUGGGAAGCGCUGGGCGCCUGGUCCUGCGGGGCCCCCGCCUGCAUUUCCGACGCGGGCCUCGGCUGGUGCGGCUGGCCCUGUCUUGCAGCCGCAACCCAACCCACAUCGGCGCUGGGGCCGCCGCGUGCCGCCGAGGGCGCCGCCUCAGCCUCCUCAGCGCCCUGCCGCUGCUGCGGCUGCGACUGACGCUCAGGCGGCUGCUGGAGCGCGCCGGUACCUGUGACCGCCGCGGCACUGCCGCCGCCACCGCCCACGACCCGCUCCGUACUUGCAAUGCGCUGCAGUGAGCCCGGCCGACUGCCCAAGCCUUGGCUGGGCGCCUGUGCCUGUGCCUGUCGGCUACCGACAGCUCCAGCGGCAGGCCCCGCAGCCCCAGCCGCCUCUGCCGCUGCUGCUGGUGUGGCCGCUGCAGGCUGGGCGGCAGCGGGCUGGGCUCCGGCUCCGGCUCCGGCCACAUGGCGGGCAAACCAGGCCUCAUGUGGGUCGAUGGAUGCGACUGGGCGGGGCACUGGGAUAGCGGGGGCGGGCACUCCGGGCGGUCGCAGCACUGGGGGCACCUGUGAUGAGUGCGGGGCGGCGGCACUGAGGCUGAGAGACUGAGCAAGGUUUCGCAUACGGCACUGCAACAGCAGGUUCGUACACGGUACUGCAAGAGCAGGUUCGGUUCAACGUGGUGCAUGGGGUUCCACACAUCAAGCUCGAGGCACAGCAAAGCGGUCAUGCGGGGCGGCGCACGAGGUACGGCACCCGGGGGGCAGGUGCCCUGCGGAGCAGGUCAACCCCCGUCAGGCCUACCUUGGUCCCACCGGCUCCCACUCCCGCCCCCUGGCGGCUGGAGAAGAGCACGGGCAGUGCGGGCGGCAGCACUCCGCCAAAGCCGCCACCAGGAACCGGCGCUGCGGGGGUGGGUGCUGGUGCAGCCGCUGACUGCGGCUGCGAGGUCCCAGCCGCAUCAAGAUGCGGGACUGGGGCCGCGGCUGACGGCCCUGGCUGCGGCAUAGGCAGCGGCGGAGUGCCAACGAGCGGCGGAGGCACCCCUGGCGGCCUCACCAGCGGUUGCGGCUGCUGCGGCUGCUGCAGCGGCCCCCGCGGCCCGCCCGCUGCCACGGCCAUCGGGGCGCCGCCGGGGGGUGGAGCGCCCGGUGCACCGCCCUGCAGCGGGCCGCGCGCAGGCAGUGCCCCCAGCGGGCCUGCCAUGCCGGGCGGCAGCUGCCCGUGCAGCGGCAUGGCCAUGUGCAUGUGCGGCGGCAGCUGCCCGUGCAGCGGCAGGUGCCCGUGCUGCGGCAUCGCGGGUCCGGACCACUGGGGCGGCAGGUCCAUGUGCAGCGGCUGACCGGGCUGCGCCGGGUGCGGCGGGGCGCGGAAGCUGCUGCCGGGGCUGCCGAACGCCCCAGCGCCCGCCGUUGCUGCCGCCGCCGCCCCCGCAGCACCCAUGCCGUGUGGCGGAGGCCCCACGGCGAGCCCGGCUGCGGCUGCGGCUGCGGGCGGCAUUCCGCCCAGCAGCGCGUGCGGCUGCGCCAGCCCAGGCCCCGCGGGCAGUGCGUGCGGGGGCAGUCCGAAGGCGGCUGCGGGGGAGGGUGGGUGCAUGUGCGGGUGCAUACUGGGCGGCGGCAUAAGGAGAGCUGACGCCUGUGGCCGCUGCGGCAUGCCGUGUGGAGGAAAGGGCGGCAGCACCUGGUGCGGACUGGGCACCGCCGCCGCGGCCCCGUCGGGCAGGCCGAGCCGUGUCGCAGGCUGGGCCGCGUGAGGCGAGGGGGGCGCCUGCAGGCCAACACACGAGGGCGUAAGGACGCAGCAAAAGGCCUGCCGAGACGCACAGCUCCUGCAUUUACACGAGCGAUUCAGCUACCUAUUGAACUUUUCAUAACCACUCACCGCUGUGGGCUGUUGCCGGAAGGGGCCCGCCUGGCCAACUGCCGCUGGAAUGCCUCCAUUCGGGCCUCCUGCCACACUGCCGCCGCCACUACCGCCGUUGUUCCGCUGCUUCUCUGCCGCCGCAGCCGCCGCACGUGCAGUCGCCUGAGCCACCACCUUCUGUACCACCGUGGGCUGCUCGCUGUCCGCCGGCCCCUCGUCGCCGUCCAUCAGUGUGUACAGCUUGGAGGCGGCGGGUCGGACCACCGCGUUGCCGCCGCCACCCAGCCCGCCGCCGCCACCCACCAUGGUGGCUGCGGGCCGCGGUGCGGGAGGCGGCGGCACUGCCGGCCGCACCAGCUGCUCGGGCGGCACAGAGCGCAGCACCUGCAGCGGCGAGGGGUGAGAGCGCAUUGACUCCGACCAGUGGCACUGCAUUGCAUGUCUGCAUGUGUGCCUGCCGGAGCAACCACCUAGUGCCACCCGGAGCCACCUGGGCAGGACAUGGGCCGAACCCGCCACGCACAAGCACAGGAAGCCCACGCCCCACGACUACACGUACACGCCAUGCCACAUCCCGCCCCGCCUGCCUCGCUCACCCUCUCUCUCAGCCCCCGCGGCAGGUUGAAGAGCAGCUGCAUGUCGCCCAGCAGCCGCACACGCAGCUCCUCGCGGCUCAGAGGCGGGGCGGCGGGAGGCGGCGGGGCUGCGGGCGCCGAGCGCUGCGCCCCGUGAUGUGGCUGCGAGGACGUGCCGGCGCCGCCGCCGUACCCGCCGGCUGCCUCCACUGCGGCGGACGCCACCACGGAGCCCGCCUGGGCCUCGUGGGCGGUGGUGGCGCUGGUAAGCUGGUAGCCCGCCUCCGCCGCACCCGCCACCGACGCCAGGCCCGGCCGCUGCCGCUGGUGCUGCUGCUCGCCGGCCGCCACACCGCCGCCCUCCUGGCUCUCGGGCGUGGCCGUGCCCAAGCCCAUGUGCGGCUGCGGCGUCAGGGGCCGCUGCUGCUGCUGCUGCUGCUGCUGCUGACCGGGGGCCGGGGGCGGCGGCAGGCGCAGAAUGGGUCCGGCGGGUCCGGCCCCCGCAAAGCCGGCCUCCAUGCAGGCGGCCUGCAGUCCCGCCGGGUCCACCACAAGCAUCUCCGACCAGAUGACCUGCACGGGCGGGCGAGGGGAGCGUGUGUGUUUAUGUGUUGAGAGGGUAGCCUGGCAUAUGAGCGCCGAGCGCUUGACGUGACUUGGGCACACAAGCGAAGGCCCUCGUGGAACAGCGCGCGGGUCCAACGGUGCGCAGCACCACUACCUGUGCCAGGCCCGGCCCUUCCCUUCUCCCGUUCUGCCCCCUCUCUCCCUGCCGGCUGCCGCCCCAUGCCUCACCUGUUGCACCCGCGCUAUCUUGUGCAGCUCGCCCAGCUGCAUCACGAACACCGACUGCUGCCGCAUCAGGGUGGCGCGCACAGCGCCGUACAGCGGGUCGCCCAGCAGGUCGCGCAGCGCGGGGCCGCCCGCAGGGGCCGGGGGGCCCGGCGGCGGCGGCGGCAGCGGGCCGCCAGGACCCACCGGCCCCGCACCCGGCGGGAAUGCAGGCGGUGGCGGCAUCAUCAUAUGCCCGCCGGGGGGUGGCGGCGAGAACAUGGGCUGCUGGUGCUGCUGGUGCUGGAGCUGGUGCGGCUGGAACUGGGGAGGCAACUGCGCCUGCUCGCCCCACGGCUGCGGUGGAGCGGCCCGCAGGCUGAGGCCAGCCGCAGCAGCUGUCACAGCGGCCGCCGCUGCCGCUGUGGUCCCGUCAUUGCCCCUUGUCGGGAAAGCAACCCCGCCGCUCCCGUCUCUACUUCCACCUCCUGCCCUGGCAACGCCGUCGUCUGCACCUGCCGCGCCGACAGCCGCCUCUGACGCCGGCAGUGGACUGGCGCCCAUGCGGCCGCCCUCCCCCUCCCCCUCCCGGAAGCCGCGGCCGCCUGCCUGCAUGCCGGCUGGCCCUCCCUGGUGCUGCUGCCUCUGGGAGGCCGCGCCGCGCUGCUGCGACUGCGACUGCGACUGCGAGCUGCUGGAGGUGAGCGGCGUGUCACUGCACUCCGUCUCCGACUGGCCCUCGCCCUCGCCCUCCGCCUCCGCCAUAUCCGUGUCCGGCUCCCCGCGGCGCCCCGCCUCCCUUCCAUAGCCGCGCACCUCGCCGCGGCCACCGCCCGCUGAUCCAGCACUGCCCCGGCCCGCCUGCUGCGCCUGCGUCUGUGCCUGUGCCGCGGUGGGCGCCUGCGUCUGCUGCCAGCGCAUGUCCACCUGCAUCGCGUCAGAGCCGGCAGCUGCGCCGCCGUUCGACCCCCCCUCAGCCAGCUGCACGUCCCGCAUGCCACUGCUCGCAUUCUCACGACUGCCGCUGCCGGCGUCCGACGUGCCAGAGCGGCCCGCGCGCUGCCUCUGCUGCUGGCGUGCGUCCUCAGCCCUGGCCGCACGUGCCGCCGCGACCUCGUCCGAGAGGCUGCGCCGCUGUGCCGGCGCCCCCAGUGUGGUGGAGCCGCCGCUGCCGUUGCCGUCCGCGCCGGUCACGCCGCCGCCGCCGCCACUGGCCAGGCCGCCGGAGGUCUCGCUACCAUCCAGCGGUCCCCCCGGUGUGGCCCCGGCGGCUACGGCCGCGGCCUCCAGCGCCUUGGCACAGUGCGGAGGUCCCACCUCCUCCUCCUCCUCCCAGUCGUCACGCCGCCGCUUGUAGCCGUCAGCCCUCACGCCGGCGGCGCCGGCUGGAUGAGCUGGGCCGGCAAGCCUGCGGCCCCCACUUGGAGGGGACCCGGUACCGCCGCCCCCCAAGGACUUGUCGUAUUGGCGCGGGCUGGCCGCCUCCGUCGUGCCUCCGGCGCCCGGUGGGCUGCAGCCCGCACUGGUGGCGCCGCUGCUGGCCUCCGUGCUGCCCUCGGUGACGGUGCUGUAGGACUCACCCGACGUCUGCUGCACCUGCGGCGCCUGCAGCUGGCGAGACGGCUGUGGCAGCGGCUGCCUCUGCUGCUGAGGUGACGGGGGCCCAUGGCGAUCGCCACUCCCUGACCCGUUGCGAUAAUGAUCGCCCGCGGCAGCAGCGGCAGCAGCAGCAGCAGUAGCCAUGUCGCCUACCUGCCUACUGCUUUCGGGCUUGACUGCAGGCGCCUGUGCAGCCGGCGCAGACCUGGCCAUGCCGCCUUCGGCCUGCGGGGGUGGCAGCUGCAGCGACGGAGAGCCCCCUGCUGCCACUGCAACGGGGCGCCUCACGAGUGAUGGCUGCGGCAGUGCAUACUGUAGGGGCUGUUGCAGUGGCGGCUUGUGUCCCGACAGCGCUGGUUGCUGCUGCUGCUGCUGCAUGCCGGCACCCAGCAUGGCGCCAUUGAGGAAGGCGCUGGCGGCGGCAGGCGGCAGGCCGGGCAGCAGGGCCUGCUGCUGCAGCUGCUGCAACUGCUGCAGCUGCCACUGCUGCAAUAGCGCCACAGCGCUGUCCCCACCGCCUGCCGCACUGCCGCCGCCUGGACCCAGUGCCAUGUGCCCCGGCGGCCGCCCGCCUCCGUACGGCACCGGUAGCGGCACCUGAAGGCCGCCCACGCCCGGCACGGGGCCGCCGGGGCCACCGAAGAAGGGCGGGCCCGCGGCGCCUGGCUGCGGCAUCCCAGGUCGGCCGGUGCUGGCUAGCAAUGGUGCCGCCGCCAGCGGUAGCUGCCCAGGCCCCAUAGGCCGCAUGCCCCCUGACGGCACGCCGUGCACGCCGGGCGGCGCGAGGCCUGGCACGGGUCCCGCCACACCGCCCGCCGCCAUGAGGCUGCUGAGCGCCAUGAGCGCCCCCGAGGCCGCGGCCGCCUGCUGCGGCGCCUGCACCAGGCCCGGCAGCUGCGGGUAGCGGCCGGGCAUUUGCGGGAAUGACGGUGGCAGAAGCUGCAUCUGCCCGCCCGGCCCCAGUGACAGCGAGUUCUGCGAGGUCUGUGACGUCCCUGCCGCCGCCGCCUGAAGCUGGCGGUGCAGCUGCAGGUGCUGCAGCACUGGGGAGAUGCACGGCGCCACACCGCCGCCACCCUGGCCAGCAGCCAACUGCAGCCGCUGCUGCUGCUGCUGCUGUUGUUGCUGCUGCUGUAGUUGUUGCUGUAGCUGCUGUGUCUGCUGCAGUAGGUACUGCUGGAGUGCCUGUUGGUGCUGCUGCGCCGCCGGCGCUGCCAGCGGCAGCUGCGGCUGCGGCCCUGACAGCAUGGCGCCGGAGCUUUGCAGCUGCCCCAGCAUGGCUGCAGCCGCGGCGGUUGCACCCGCUAGGCCCGGGGCGAAGACCUGCGGAGCACCCGCUGACUGCCCCAGGUGCGGUCCUGAGCCGGCAGGGAGCCCGCCUUGCGGCUGCUUGGGUACCGCGAGCUGCGACUUGCCCACUGCGCCUGAGCCAGCAGGCAUCUGAUUAUCUGGUCCCAUGUACUUCAAGCCAAUCCAGCUCAGUUUCGCAGUCCCGGAGCCACAACUGGCGUCAGAGAAGCCCGGGUCAUCUGCAGGCUUCCCGCGCCUCUGCGCGUAUGUCCCUUAAUUUUGUAGAUAGUUGAACCUCUUGAAAAAGACUUAUUCUUUAAUCAAGAAGCCGCGCCAAGGAGCGUCGAGCCCGCAGGAGCUGACCGGACAACAAUUUGUGCGGGCAAUUUUGGGCACGGUUCAAGCCACUCCUAGCGCUGUGGCUACACCAGUGUUCAAGGAGCUACCAGAAGGCUGCACUGCAGACUGCGGCGCCUCAGAACGGCCGCGACAGGCGAAAAGACACACAACGAAAGCGACCCCCACUACCUAGCGAAAGGGCGAUCUGCAAUAAGUGCAUGGUAUCAUCAGGAAGUGAAGGAAGGCUGGGCGGAGUCUGUCCAAAUAUCUGCUGGCAACCCGAAUCGCAAUGGGGUUUUUGGGCAUUUCUGCUACGCUCGUCCCAUGCGUCAGCUGGCUGCCCCCGCGCAGCCCUAGCAGCUGCUGGUCUGCGCUCCCCAGUGCCGCAACCAGUCACGUGCCGCAUGCUGCAUCCUACCUGUGCUGGGCGCGUGGCCACGUGCGUGUGCCUCGGGCUGGGGUUGACUGGUUGAGGGCAACUUCGCCCACCCAGGAUGGGGCCUGCCUAUGGCAGAGUCCUGGGCGUGGGUGCGGGACUGCGGGUGAUGUGUGGACAUGGAUGUAACUGACGAGGGCUAGCCGAGACGGUGUUGUCAUCGGCUACUCAUCGCGGCAAGUACAAACGUGAAACGUUGGUAACACUGUGGGGCGCACGGACCUCUGCAACACGCUGGCCUGCGACGGCAUGGUCAGGCAUGGUCGAGAUGUAUGGCACUCUUUCCAUGUUUGGAGUGCCACCGUUCCUGGAUAUUGCUGACCUGCGUACCUUUGAAGACAACCCUCGCAGCGCCUUUUACUCCUGCUCCUGCUUUGCUGCAACUUUCCUGUCGCUGGCCAGGUGAUAGCGGCGGUGUGUGAUGGGCAGGAGAUUGCAUUGGUUGGGUAUCGGUCAGCGGGUGGGCGGGCGGGAAUGUCCAUCAGCCCGCCUCAGCAGCAAUGGCUGCAAGAGGGUGGCCGAGCAACUGGCCUGCGGCACCUGUGACUGUUAGGGCACCGGGCAGGUGUUUACCUUGUACAUAUACAUUAGCGCGGGUUCCUGCACAAUGCGCGGGACACCCUGGGCCUGGGCCUGGGCCUGGGCCUGGAGGCGGUGCUGGCUGGUGCUGGAGGCAGCUGGGGAUGCGGCGGGACGCCGGCAGUGGGCGGCGGCACGCGCCGCGCUGGUGCAGGCUUACAAGCAGCAGGCGGCGCGGGCGCUGGGGCUGGGCGCUAGCGCCGGGGCAGUCGGGGUGAAGUCCUGCAGCGGGCGUCGGCGACCCGCCAGCUCGCCUGCGAUUGCGAGGAGCCCAGCCGUAAAACUUGUGGCCUACGCCAGGGGAUGCGGACGAGCCGCGCUAAAAAGAAAAAGGUGAGGGGCUGCGAGCUCGGAGUUUACAGUGCUGGUGUUGCACUUGGAUGCCCGUGACGCCCCAUAUCGGCGUACAGCUGACGCGCCCUGUGCAUGUGCGCCCUUCGCAUUGCAUGUCGCAGAAGGGUGUGGUUUGUCCUGUUUGUCCUGUUUGCGGGGUUUAUUAUGGUGCCUUGCUGCGUGUUGCCUGCGUACCAGACUGCAGCCAAGCCCACGUAGCUCUCUGCAUUCAUGCCCACAUGGCCCAUGCCACGUGCAGUACCGCCGGGAUGAGCCAUGCAGCCAUCGCGCUGUCAUCACUAUUACGCGGCCUCCCCGAUUCCAGUACUUGCAUUGCCACACGUAUUCAUUCCUCCCCAUUUACAUACUUGCUUUCCGCUCCGUCCACUCCGCCUCCAUAGUUCCGUUCCAGCCCGCGCCAGCCCCAACCGCAGCGACAGCCAGCCGCCCAGCCCGCGGUUACUUGCUGUGCUGUUUUGCUUCCUGUCUGGCCCGCUGCUUCCUUCCCGGUUUCUUACGCUUCCACUCACUCCCUCCCUCACAUGUGCUGCUGGACGACGGUGGCGCUGGUGUUUUCCAGGUUGGUUUCGGAUGCCGCGCGCCCCGCAGCUCCGCUCCGCGCCAGCCCGCCAGCCGUCCGACAGCCUAGCCAUCGCAACCUGGUUAUAUCAGUGAUGGGUCGGCGGCGCUCCUCUAUUGCCCGUGGCGUUUACCGUCUGGAUGAGGUAACAUGUCUGCUGUGACCGCCUCCUGCUAACCGGCCUUCUAUGCGUGCUAGCGACUACAACUUCUCUUCGUGUCGCGCACAUUCGCGUUCGCAUUUCGACAGCACUCCGCUAAGGAGGGAAAGCAGGGCUAAGUCGCAGGCGCAGGCGCAACCACAGGCACUAGGGGCACCGGGCGGGGCCAAGCCGCCGCUGCAGCCUUUCCAGCCUUACUGGUUCGCUGUCUCAGUGUCUCACCUUCUCGUAGCGCUGCUGCAGCUGCAGGUUGCAUGCACCGGCAGCCGCCCCAGAUGGCACAGGAGUCAGGAGGGAGCGGUGGCAGCAGCUGCGGCUGCAGCCACGGCCGCGGCGAUGGCAGCUGCAGCAUCGGUGCGGGGUGUGGCGCGGGAGGUGCGCACCCUGGUGGUGGUGAAUGAGACCAUGCAGCAGCCUCAGGCCGGGCCGAUGGCGGGGCUGAUGAUGAUGUGCGAGUGCAGGGGUGUCACUGCGCGGGUGGUAACUGAAUGGCAUUUCCAGCAAGGAUGUGUGCGCACCGGUCGUGGUCCGUCGUGGCGACGGCGGCCAAGAAGGCGGCCAAGCGAGAGCGGGUGGGAGCAGCACCGGGUGGCCAGGGCGGCCAAGAUUGAGCGGGACAAGGAGCCCAUGGGGUAAAUGGUGAGCUCGGAUAGGCGAAGUGGGUGUGUGUUCGUGUCACCGUCUACAGCUGCCCACGCACUCUUGAACGGUCCAUUCUAGGUUGCGAUAAAAUACAAGCACGAGACAUCAUUGGCGUCCCGCUGGAAGCCAGAGAACUGCCUCGCUUCUCCCCACGUUCAUCGAAGCAGCGAUUAGACGCGUUUUGUUCUUCCUUUGCCCUACUACCCUAAACUGCUAUAGAUAAAUACAUUCUUGCUGGCGAAACAGGACAUACGCGACCUUGUCCCGACAACUCUUCAGCGCGAAGUUUCUAUGUAAAUUGCUUCCACCCUGCCAUGCUCACCAUUAUUGAGCUUGUCGUAAACUACUGAUGGCUGUACAAGAAAGCUCUUCAGAGGCCACGCCAUCGCCAGACCCUGAACAAAACGAGCAGCAAAUGGAGGAGCCAGCAUCUUCUGGAGCUGCCGGGGAGCCACAGUCGGCGGGGGUAGAGUCGGGGCAGCCCGGCGCGGGGGGCGGACCGGACGACACCGUGGAGAGGAGUGGCCCCAGUGCGCUGGUGCCGCGGAUUCUGGCCCGACCGCCGCGGAAGGCCAAGCCUCAGGGCGUUCGUGUGCUGGAGCCCAAGGAGUCCAUGCGGAACCGACUGCGCAAGGCCCUCGCGCCCUACCUCACAGCCACGUACUGGCAGGUGGGCGGAGAUUGGCCGAGAGUGGGGCGGUGUCGUAGUGAGGCUGGUUUGGCGGCACCCAUAGGCGCCCACGCGGCACCAAGACCACAUAUCUAGGCGCUCUCAAAGCUCGGUGCCUGACGCCCGGUGGUCCUGAUGGCGGCUUGGGCCGCAAAGUACCACACAGGGCCACACAAUGCAUACCGGGGGGCUCUGAACGUCCCCCGAUAGGCAACCGCCUCGGGCGCCGUGUCCCACGCCCUGCCCUGCCCUGUCCCCCCUGGACCGCCACCCGCACCUCCACCUCCACUUCUCACUUCCUCGCCCUCCUGGCCUCGUGGCUGCAGGGCGAGAUGGCCAGGAAGUUCACGGCCGAGUAGUGAGUCCGCCGAGGCCCCCCGCACCCGCACCCGCACUGGAGCACCUACUCUCUGCUGGUUGGGGGGAGGGAGGCGGAGUAGACGGGGAAGGCGAGGGGAUGGGCGGACGAGAGGCCUGAGGCUCCGAAGGUAUGGACGUUUGCGCACUCCCUGACCUGUGCCGUAUGCACCCGCUCGCGUGCAGCAUCGAGGCGCACCCGCCUCCCGAGGACGAGGUGGGUCAGCGGGCGGGGCAGUGGGUUGCAGCUGUAAAAUGGAAGGCGCACGGCGGCGUGCGUUGUGGCUAGUGGGAUAGCGGUGGUGUCGUAAUGGGUGCUGGGUAGUGGGUGAUGGCUAUCGAGUAGUGGCUUGUAGCUAGCUAAUGGGCGGUGGCUAGUGGAUAAUGGGUGGUGCGCCACCCACAGGGUUAUGCAGGACUCAUACCGGACCGGAGCAGAGCAGGAGGAGCAUGUGCCGCCGUACAUUGAGUGGGCUAGCUGCUCCGACUGUGAACCAGGCCCUCCCUUCAUCCCCUAUCCCAUAGUACUAUCACUUGCAACUAACGCCUCUACCUGUGCUCCGCUCGUGUUAGCUUGGUUAGUUUGGGCUGGUAUAUACAACCCCCCCUCCACCCUCCGCACUGCCCUCAGGACGACCUGCCCGCCUACAUCGCGCAGCACCUGCGUGAGCUCAACCGCGUCACUGAGCGCUGGAGCGGCUGUGUGGUGAAGGCGCUGGACCCGCUCAGCCACCAAAUGGCCAUUGACGACCGACUGCAGGUGCGCGGGCCCUGCCGGACUGUGUAUGCGAGGUGGGGGUGUUAUGUGCCCGAGCCCGACGAUUCAAGUCCCAUAAUCAUCAGAAAGCCCGCUCAAUAACGACAGUGCGGGGCAAGCGCGCCGGAAAUGACGUUCAGUCUCGGCCAUGUUGUGGUGGCUGUGUGGGUAGUGAGUAGGGCAUGUCCAGCUGGGUCACUGGGAAUCUCAUAGCCAAACUGUAUUAUUGUCCGCACAUCGCCCCGGCUCGGCACAAGUCACGGUCUAUGCUGGUACUCCGAUACCAAGCCCAAAAAAUGGGGAUGUGUGGAGGGGGGCCGCGGCUGCGCUGCUGACAUACCGUGCACCGCCUUAACGCUCGUCCCUAUGUCCAUUUUCCUCGGCCGCACACCAUACCUUCCUAUGGCCGCUGUGUUGCUCCCCACAGCGCCAGCGGCAGCGGGCUGAGGGACUGCCGGUGGAGUCGUUGGACAUGGACUUUGCCAUGAGGCCGGGACUGGUGAGGGGCAGGGGGGAGUAGGGGAGAUUGGGAAGUGGGGAGGUGGGGCGCGGGUUGACAAGGGGCUUGGAGCGGCAGCUGGAUGGUGGAGGGGGGGGGGUCGUACAGGCGGGGCAGGUACAGAGACGUAGGGACCAAGUCCAGGCGCACAUGGACAUAAGUUGCUUGAUGAUACCGCGUCGUGAUCACGACCUGACCUGCCACUGCCGCCCUGCAGUCGCCUGCAGCCACCGACUCGCCCACUGCGGCGCCCGCUGCCAAGGCUGCCCAGCCGCCUGCGCCGCCUCCUCGCCCUGCUGACGAUGGCGACACGCGGCUGACCAGCAGCCAGAUCGUGUCCGCGGUACACCUGGUGUCCGACAUCAAGGUGUGGGAGGAGAUCCUGGCGGCCAAGAAGGCCGAGGAGCGCCGCCAGCACGCCAUCGCCGAGCUGCACCUGCACCACGCCGCGCGCAUCAUCCAGGUAAGGGGGGGGGGGCGAGGGAAAGCUGGAGCGGGUGGAGGCUGGGGCGUGUGUUGAGUCGGCGUGAAGGGGCACUGAUUGCUGGUCACCACAUGCCCCACGCGGCUGCAGCCCGCACACCCGUCCGCUUACCCUAAACACACAGUAUGUAUGUCAUGCACCACCCGCCGCAGCGCUCCUGGCGCUCCUUCAUCGGGCAGCGCAAGGAGGAGAAGGCUCGGCUGGACAGCCUGGUGUCGCCGGACGUGCAGGUGGGGGGGGGUUGAGGCGCAGGGGGUGGGAGGGACGCGGGAGGGGGCAUGUGGGGCGGCAGCUGCUCCGAGCGCUGUGGUUGCUCCCGUAUGCAAGGAGUUACUGCGGCGCCUCAGAACGGCCGCAACAGGCAAAAAGACACACAACGAAAGCGACCCUCACUACCUAGCCAAAGGGCGAUCUGCAAUAAGUGCAUGGUAUCAUCAGGAAGAUGAUCAGGAAGUGAAGCAAGGCUGGGCGGAGUCCGUCCACAUAUCUGCUGGCAACCCGAAUCGCAAUGGGGUUUUUGGGCAUUUCUGCUACGCUCGUCCCAUGCGUCAGCUGGCUGCCCCCGCGCAGCCCUAGCGGCUGCUGGUCUGCGCUCCCCCGCACCGCCACCAGUCACUUGCCGCAUGCUGCGUCCUACCUGUGCUGGGCGCGUGGCCACGUGCGCGUGCCUCGGGCUGGGGUUGACUGGUUGAGGGCAACUUCGCCCACUCAGGAUGGGGCCUGCCCAUGGCAGGUCCUGGGCGUGGGUGCGGCACUGCCGCGGGCGAUGCGUAAACUUGGAUGAACCUUACCACUCCGCUGCGCUCAUGCGGUCGCCCCCGCCCGUGCAGGCCAUGCUGAGUGCCGCCGCCUACAAGGCCAUGAGGGACGCGCGCAACAAGCUGCAGCUCACACGCCUGCGCAAGAGCCUCAGCAGGCGGGCGCGGGUGGGCGGCUUCGGCUCAUCCGCACGUGAGUACAGGCGGAUGCACAGGGGCUAGGGUGCUACCAGGGCAGAGGGCACAGCGCGGCUAGGGUGAGGGAAUGUACCCUCCUUUCAAAGGAGAGCCCGCGGAGUUUCUGUAUCGAUUUUGCAUCCUCGUUCCUUUUCGACCUGCUCAUGAACUAGCGCCCACUCAUGGAAUGGAACCGCACAGCCCGAGACCUGGACCGGACGGUCAAGCCGCAGCCGGGAGGGGGCGGGGGCCCGGGCGUGGGGCCGAACCCGCCCGCCGGCCGCCGGCCGCCCAAGGCUCCUGCCGGCCCUCGGGGGGCGGCUGCGGCGGCCGGUGAAGCCCGGCGCAGCAGCCGGGAUGUUUCAGGUGCUCCCUCUGGCUCCAGGUGCGGUGUGUGAGCGCGGGAGGGGGUAUGGGGCUUGGACUGAGGCGGCAGGGGAGGGGGCAGCAUGUGUAGGCGGUCAUCCCUGCGCGUGUGCGAGACCGGCACUCAGGACUCCCCUCUCACUGCAGGUCGGCAUUGGACAGCGCGGGCGGUGCAGACUCGCAGUGGGAGGGGGACGGCCGCGAGCAGGCGGACAGGGGCUCGUCGGCCGGCGGCGACAGUGCACUCGCAGGCGGGCUGAGCCGCAGCGCCUCACGCCGCACCGGCAGCGCCAACAGCGGGCGAGGCCUGGUGCGGGCGAGCUCCAGCGCAGCCCGCUCGGCGCAGAUUUUCAAACGCCUGGUGUCUCUCAAGGGGGACCCGCAGGAGGGCAGCCUCGGCCGCGGCGGCAGCGAACGCGGCAGCGACAUGGGUGGCGGCAGUGCGCUGCAGGAGGGCGGCGAGGGUGCGGGCGGCGAGGGCGAGGAGGGCUGGACGGAGGGCGUGCCGCGGGCCGCUGCUGGCCGGUACGCCGCGGCUGAGGGCGAGGAUGAGGACCAGGGCGAUGAGGAGGAGGGCGGCAACUUCGACGACAUGCAGCCCGAGCCGCUGCCCGAGGGCGAGGAGGGCGACGAGGAGGGGGAUGACGGCGAGUGGGAGGAAGCGGAUGGUGAGGAGGACAGGGAGGAGGAUGCGGACGGCGAGGGCGGUGAGGCGGCUCUUCAGGGGCUGCUGCGGCCCGAGGAUGCGGACCAGGCUGUGGCGGAGGCGGAGGAGGUGGUGGAGAUGGCCGCGGCGCUGGCGGAGGCGUUCCUGGGUGGCUUGGGCGAGCAGGACCAAGAGGGCCAGGAGGACACCUGCGAAGCGGAUGAGGAUUUCCAGGGCGAGGAGGGUGGAGCGGACCCUGGGGCUUCAGCAACAGCUGGUGCUACACAGGAGCAGGCACAGGUAGCGGUAGGCACUGCAGGUGCCAUGGCGGCCGCGGGAGCAGCAGCAGCGGGCGCGGCGACGGGGCCUCAUGUACCCAGCGCACCCAAGGCGCCACGCCCGCCGGCACGUGGCGAGGCCGCUGCACGUGCCCCGGCCCCUCGCCGUGGCGGCCGCACAUCGGCGCUGUCCAUGUCGUCCGACACCGCGGCCAUGAGGCACGUCAUUGCGGGGGCGCUUGCGGCGGCGGCGGCGCCCGUGCUGGGCCGCAGCGGCGCACUGGCCGUGGCGCGCCUGGGUCUGGGAGAGCCGCUGGCCCCGCCGCACCGGCUCAGCGGCGCGGGCGGCAGCACAGGCAACCUAGCCGGUGGCGGUGGCCUGCCCGCCAGCACCGGCGCGCUGGCAGCGAGUGGGGCGUCCCGGCGCGCGGUGCUGGGCACUGCCGCGCCGACAGGGCCGCAGCCACAGCGUGUGGGCCGGCUGCGGGCGGGCGCGGGCAGCCCGGGUGCGGACCGGGUGUCCGGGUCCGGAGCCGGGGGCCAUCCCAAGGCGCUCACGCCGUCCGCGAUUCGCGCGGAGGCAGAGGCUGGCCUCAUGGCGGCGGCAGCUGGCGGCGGUGGUGAUGGCCUUGACGACUCGGGACUGGUGUCAGCUGACUGGGCGGCGGCUGCAGCCAGUGCCGCUGCGGCCGCGGGUGCUGCGCUGGUGAGCGGCGGCAGCAGCUCGGGGCCUCUGGGUCCGCGUGCGAGCGGCUACUCCAGCAGCAGCCUGGCGGGAGUGCACCUGGAGCCGCUGGCAGCGGCCGCGUCACCAAGGGCCAGUGGCUCGGGCGCGGCAGCUCUGAUGCGCUCACCGCGGCCCAGUGACAGCGGCGUGGGCGGCACACUGCAGGCGCUAUCGCCAGCGGGCAUGCCGGACCCGCUGCUGGCUCAGGUCCGGCUGCCGCGGCAGUCGGACGGCGCCGCGCCCAGCUCGCCGUUGCCGCUGCCGCCGCUGCCCGGCACGCACAUGGCAACAGGCGACGACGCGGUGGGCGGCCUGACCGGCACCGCAGCCGCCCGCCACCAGCCGCAGCCCCGCGUGUCGGCCACUGGACAGGCGCAAGGUCCGGGAGCGGGUCCGGGCGAGGCGCUGGACGUCCUGUCCUCACCCCAGGCCAGUCCCACGGGCCACCUGGGGGGCGCUGCGCCUGUGGUGGCUGGCUACCAGCAGCAAUGGGCGAUGCCGCGUCAGCCGCAGCCGCCACUCACCCAGCAGCGCACCGCGGCGCAACCCACCCACCACCAUCCGCAGUCCCACUACAACCAUGCCGCGUACCACCCGCCGACCGGCGCCGCCACCAUGGCCUCCGCACUGCCCGAUCCCCGCAACGUCACCGCGCCCGGCGCCGUCGGGGCGGCAGCGGCGGCCGCACACAAGGACCCCUCCUGGCUUCUGCCACCCAUUGCCGGCUCCCCGAGCCGCAGCGCCACGGGACCGCCGGGGCUGGGCGCGCAGGCCGCUGCGGUGGCAGCACUGCGGGCUGGCGCGGGGGUCGGCGGUCUGGCGGCGGGAGUUGUGGGCGUGAGCCGCACUGCCUCCGACCCCUUCAUGCAGCGCCCGCACGGCUUGGUGGCACAGCAGCAGCAGCAGCAGCAGCAGCAGCAGCAGCAGCAGGCUCAGGGUCAGGGCCAGCCGCUGCGGGCCUCGCACGCGGGGGCCGCCAGCAGUGCACUGGGCGGCCCGGCCAGCCCCGGCCUGGCCUCCCGCGCCAACCUGGGGCAGGGCGCGAUGGCGGCGGCGGCCUCGGGGCAGCGGGCGCGGCGCUCCAGCCUGGUGGGUGGGAGCGUCUCAGGCGGUGUGGAGGGGCCGCUGGGGGCGCUCAUUUCGCUGUCCAGUGGCGUCGUGGGGCCGUCCGCUCACGGCGGCGCCUCGCCCGUGCGGCUGGCUGGCCGCGCGGCUCGCAGCUCCGUGGGCUCGCCCGGCAUGCUGCCCGCGCCCAGCCCCAGCCAGUUGCAGGUGCAGCACAACCGCCUGACGGUGUCAGUGGACAGCAGCAGCUACCCGCACUCAGGCUCGGUGUCGCUGAUGGGCGUGGCAGGCAGCGGUCUGCUCAUCAACGGCAUCUCGGGCGGGGGCGCCAGCCUGGUGGCGGCACGAGGCGCAGGCGGCGACACCUCGCCGCCACUGGUAUCCAGUCAGCUGAAGGGUGGUGGCGGCGCGGCGGGCGGCGCGGGGGCAGCACGGCAACAGCAGGUGCAUGCAGGGCGGCGGUGAUGCCGGUCAGCUGCGAGCAGCGCCAUGCAACUACCGUAGUCGAGGGGACAACACAAGUCGGGGUCUCGGAGGGGUAGUGCAGGGUAGUGGCACUUGAGCGCAGUGUGACCUUGUGGAUGUGGUAUUAAGCAAGGCAUUUGGUGCUUGGUAAUGAUAAUCCGUAGUGCGACGGAUGUCUGGUUGCCGCUGCAUACAAUUAGUUAUUGAAUUUGCCCCUUUGUAACUAUGGAAGGAUUCUGACCUGUGGUGACGUGUGUGGUGACGAUGUGCAGGCUCGUGGCGCUGCAAAGCGUUAUCAAUGUUAGCCACCGUAAAUUUAGCGUUUGCUUUGGAGAUACUUGGUGGCGAUGGUGGCGAGUAGCGACCAAUGGUGCUUGAUGAAUCGCCCUUAUCAAUAAAUCAUUAAUGCAUGGCAGCCAUACCGUACCUGAUGCAAUGGUGCCGUGACCUCAUCUGUGUGCCGGUAUGUCCGUGUAAUACGGUACUCGCAAUGAACACUAUAUGUGUCAGUAAUUGACGCAUGCCACAUAAGAACGGGAGCCUGGACGUACCGCCCAUCGCGAGGGGGUCCACACCUGCGCAGGCCACCGCAUCCCGCUAGGCGAGGUGGUGGCAAGCACCCUCUGGUACAUCACUAGGUUGGCCCAGCGGAUUAACCCAGGCGUGAUUUUGGCGGGUUUGCCCCAGGGAGGGCCGAGUGAUCGAGACGGCGGACAUUGAGCGUGUUGUCCAGCGGCAAGUUUAUCGGCAUUAUCAAGAGAAAGUGAGUUGAGGAACGGUGUGGGAUGUGGGUGCGGGUCCACUGCCGUCACGACUCCCGCCACCCACGACGCCACAGCAGCGCCACCGCCACGAACCAGAACACCACAAAGGUGCCGGUGGACACCAUGUCGGUAAGCUCUGUGCGAAUGAGGUGAAUACAUGUUUUCAAGUUAGCGCAGGCUUUUAGGGAGGGGGCAGUACUACGGCAAAGACCACAACCCCAAGGCAUUGCCCCACUCCUGCUGGCCCCCAAGUCGCCCCAGUGCCCGCUGACCCUGGUUAGUGUUCACUAAGGCACUGAAGCCUCUGCGCUGUGUAGCGUUGCACUGCCUGGGACUCCGACUGUACGAGAGGCGCGUGCACGUUGCGGAUGGCAUCGGGCAGCACUGGGCCAGCAGACGUCGUGCGGUAGCAGUGUUUUUUUGUGUGGGCUUGAGGACAAGAAAUCUCUUACCUGAGGCCGCAAGCGUCUACUUUAUCUCCCGGAUAUACUUAGGGUCAGUUCGUACAGGCCCGGCCCGCCAUGCGUCCAGCCGCGUCCCGCUGCCAAGCACAAGCACGCAUUUACGCAUUUCAAAGCACAGCCAGCAAUCAACCAAACAGCAGGAACUCCUCUAGCCACAACAUUCCUCACUGCUGCGGCCUACCACAUACUGUGCGGUGCUAUGCUCGCCAGCAAAGACCGCUAACCAGACACCGGCCGGCCUCAACCUGCGCGCCGGCGCCGCUUCUUGGGCAACGCCGCGCUGUCCUCCACGUGGCCUUGCUCGCCCCCUCCGCUACGCACAUGCACGCCGCAACUGCUGGGCCCAGGCCCUGCGCCGCCGCCGGGCCCCGCGCCGCUGCCGCUGCCGCUGCUGCUGCUGCUGCUGCUGCUGCUGCUGCUGCUGCUGCUGGUGGUGGUGGUGGUGGGGCCAUGCCUCACAACAGCCAAUUCUCCAUGGACGCGCGAAGUCGCUUCUCGCUCCGGCUGGAUAUUCUUCUAGCUGUGGGCUUUAGGAAAACCGUUGCCCCGGACUAUGUGCAUGAAGCAUUGAGGGAACGGCUCAUGGGACCUGCUUGGCGGGACCGGUGGUUGCGGGCUGGGCUUCGGGAGGUGGCGGGCGAGUGGACGAGUGUGGACGGGCACGUUGCAGGUUGCGGCGAUGAGCAAGUUUUGAAACCCAAUAAAUCUGCCCCUUGGUGCAAGCUUUGGAGCUUCUGUAUAGAGUACAAACCUCGCAAUACAUUGGCAGGGAGCAUAGAAGUCGCAAAUGCUCCGACAAACCCCACGGCGAACUACAAGAGGAUAGCCCGUUGCCAUCACAAGGCUACAAACAUGAGCUUAACAAUGGAAGACUGCGGCCGCGUGGUCAAGUAUGUUAUAGACUCGGGCGCAUUUGACGAUGUUCGCAGGACGGUGAGUGCUGGAGCGCGGAGGGGCGACUGGCAGGUUGUAUGAUGUAGUGUCAGCGGGCUCAUAACGCUGCGAUGCCUGCAGGUAUGGAAUGAGCUGAAGCAGAGCUCCAGCCUGCGGGCCGCCGUGCUCGCGGAGGUGGAGAAGAGUGUCACCUUGAACUCCAACAGCGACAAGCGGCCAAAGGACACAAAGCAAAUCCUGGAUGACCUCAACCGCGAGCUUAAGUAAGUGCCGCGCUGGACGGGGGGACUGGCUGGCGGGGGGGGGGGGGGGGGCUAGACCGACGUGCUGGAGGGUGGAAGAGGCACACACGCAGGUCGGGACUUGGGGCACGGGAUGGGCGAACCAGCCAGCCUUAUGCACUCUUACCCGUGUGCCAGCGGCCGUAGUGUUGCGUUCGAGGGAUCAACACAAAAUCGACUGCAUCCCCUUGGUCUGGCGUGUGCAUGUGGUGACGAUGCCCCACGCCUCGCACUCCGUGUAGGAGCAAGCUGAACGACAUCGCCAGCAAAACGGCGUGGGACAUCAUCGCCAGCAGCACGGACAGCCAGGUGUCCAAGGACCUGGAGCGCAAGGUGCGGAGACUGGGGCCGCGGGGGCUGCUGCGGCAGUUACGGAUGGAGCGGGAACACAGCAGAGCUGGUCUAUGUGGACUAGCCAGCGUGCCCACUGACGACUGUGACGGGUUGGCAAGGUCAAAUGUUGCCAAGGUCAAACGUUUCCCCAUCACCCAUGUGUUGCUGUCGCCUGCUGCUCGCCAGGUGCACGAGGCGAUGAACCGGAUGGCGGAGGAGCGCGAGCUGCAGCAGCAACAACAGCAGAAGCAAAGCGAGGCUGCGCCUCUCACAUCCACGCCGGCUGCGGGACCAGCACGGCAGUCCUCAUUGGCCGCGGCGGAGGCGCUGGGACUGGGUGGCGCCACGACCUCCACCGUGACCACUGCCUUCCUGCCGCCCGCGAGGCCACUCGGGGCGGCGCCCGUGACGGCAUCGCUUGCGCCCGCCACACAGGCGCGCGACUCGCAGCAGCAGCCACAGCCACAGCAGCGACAGGCGCCCCGCUAUGGUCUAGUUGGGAACUCAUAGCCCGCACUCGUGGGCGUGCGUCGGCGAGGUGGCAAACCCUUGGGCGGGCGAGUGCUGUGCAUAGGUCGCAUUGCUCCACGGGGUUGGAACGUCGGAGCUGCAUGUCCGCGGGAGGGAGUGGGCGCGUAACGGAAGCUUCAGGUUGUGCGUUCUGAUACUUGCUAUAGACGAGUCCACGAGAGUGCAGUACGUGCACGUGCCUGAUACCGGUACCAUAAGGCCUCUAUAGAGCAGGUGGCUGGUAGGCAGGUCCGCUGCGAUGAGCCUGUGGCGGCCUUAGGGGAUUGUACUCAUACAUUAGGUUACGAGACUUUUCCCAGACCCCAACACUCAACAAUCAAGUUGCAACAGGAAGGCAUGAGCGCGCGGCUGGUCGAACGCGCGAGUAACUGUACCGACGAGUGCUUGCUGGCAGGCUGGUAGUACGGUAUGCUGGCGGCGCAUUGCAGGGCUUGUCAUCACGGAUGUCCCUGACGGGUUUCACACGGCAAUCAUCGCGCCGGCGUGCUCGGAGGACUGAAGAGUGGAGAGGAACGUCGUCACAUAACGCAUGAUGACUCUGGCUGCUGACGACGGCCAGGAAUGAACGAUAAGCGACGGUACAAUGGAGAACCAGGGCAUUGAACCCCUCAGGAUUUACUCACUUGUAAACUGUAAUCCUUAGCCCCCAGACGACGGCAAAGCAGCAGACACAUCACACGAGUCUGGCUUGUGGCAGCGUCCACGCUGGAUGGCUGCCCCCCCCCGGCAACGAGGCGUUUAGCUACGGGUUUGGCAUGGGCAUGGCCGAACGGGCACACAUACAUUGCCCCAUCUGGCUCCUCACUAUUGCCCCAGCCGAGCUUGCUGCCUCCUGGUCCCCUUACACUCUCGUGCCGCUCGUUGUCAUGCACCUGCCGUGUAGGCCGGCACACCUGCCUGGCCCCCGGCCCUGACAACACGUGUGAGAUGAUUCAGCCUGACCACCAACACCCCACAAAUCAUUUACGCCCAACAGUGCUUUCCGCCGUCGCUUUCCAGCCGCAGUCUUCAGUACAGCUGGUCCGGGAUGAGCACCUGCAGCCGCGGACAGAAGCCCGCGUCAGUUGCAGAGGCUCGCCGGUGGGAGUUUGAAAGGUGCGCAGCCACCAAAAAAGCAGCGCAACUGGGAACGCCGCUACAAAUCACAAGCAGCAUGACGCCAUGCAGACGUGGGUCGCUGCACCACGCCGUCCUCAUGACUCCUAUUCACCCGACCCACCCACACACACACCCACACACCCACCCAGCCACCCACCCACCCACCACCCCGUCGCAACCCCCUGACCAACCAUGUGCAUGUCUCUGGCCGUCUCCUCCAGGCUGAGUGUUUCAAAGUCGCCUGUGCUGUAUAACACUCGCGCCUCCCGCUGCGCUGCAUACACCUCCUGCGAACGCGGCACAGGAGCAGGGCGGGUUGUCGCGUGGGCGUGAGCAUGCGCAAUGCAACCCAACGCGUGGGCUUUCGGAGUAGACGGCAUCCCUACCGGUAUCCUACAUGGUAACACCCCCCCUUUUCGUGUCUGCGGUUUCUUACUGGGAUUGUCCAAACCCCCUGUCCAAGUCCAAACCCCCUGCCCACCUGGAUCUCGAUGAGGUACCACAGGUUGUCAUCUGGCCAGAACAGCUCCGCGUGCCGCCCCACCAGCCCGUCCCCAAUGUCCUCCAGCAUCAGGUAGCGCACGUUGCCGCCCGUGCUGGCCUGGGGACGACUGGAGGAGGCCUUGUAGCCUGGGAAAAAAGAGGCGGGUGAGCGCGUUGCAGGGGCGAGGAGCGUCAGUUGAGGUCAGCGCGAGCCUAGCUGAUAGGAGUGACGAAGCGCGAGCGAACGAGUGCAGCGGAGCAGGUGGGUCCACGUUCGCUCCAGCGCUGAGUUGGCCCUGCUCAAACCAAUGCACACCAAAGCUAGUGCCAGGACAGACCAGAUCAGCCCGCCGCAGCUGCUCUCCAUAACCGCUUCAGCAAGUCAGUCAUUCCCCAUCCGCACUUCGCCGCUCACCUGCUGGCGGCGGGCGCAUGAAGGGCACUGGGUUGUUGGCCUCCGCCGCCGCCCCCGGCUCCUCGUAGGCGGGCAGCGCCUCGAUCUGGUACUCCUCGAAUGUGGAUGGCUGAGCAAGAGGCGGUGCCGGGCCAUGUGAGGGGUGUGAGAGGGCAGGGUAAGAGUUCGUGCUAGGUGGUGGGCGGUAGCAGCCCGAGUGCUGUGACGUACGGUGCGUGGAGCAUGUGCAUGAGUGGCAUCCCCAUACAUCCGCACUAACAUCAUGAUAGCGGGUUACCCCCAGGCCAGUGCCCUGAUUUCCAUCCCUGUUUUUGCUGGCAACCCACGGUCACGCUGACUCAGAAUGCUGCCGCGCCGCCCACACUCCCGCCGUUUCCGCCCUACCCCUGCCAACAGACUCCGUUCGCACCUGUGAGUUGAGCGGCAUGGAUGCCGCUGCCGCCUUCUUCUUAACCUGCUGCCCGGCUGGGGUGGGCGCCCCGCCUCCCCCGCCGCCGUCCUCGUCUCGCGGCCGCUUGCCCUUGCUGGCCACGUUGGCCGCCGCUGCCGCCUUCUUGGGCGCCGCAGCAGGCGCGGCCGCGGGCGGCGGCGGCAGCGAUAGCUCCUGCUGCAGCGACAUGUUGAACUCGUCCAGUCGGGGCGUCUUGCCGCGGCCCGUGUCCAGAGUAAAGUCCUGCAGGUAGUCCAGACCGCCGUCCGGGUUGUUCUUGCGCAACUCCUUCUCCAGGUCGUCCGUCACGCGCUCCAGCUCCAGUGCGUGCAUCUCAAGCAGGUCGUGCGCCUGCUGCGCCAGCUGCACCUUUUCAUCCGCGAACUGCAACAGCAGCUUCUGGCUGGCGGCCACCCGGUUGAGCACCUCGUCAUACUCGGGGCCGGGCUGCUGGUAGGCUGGGGGCAGGCUGACCAGCGCGCUGGUGUUGGCCUGCACCUCAGCUGACAGGUCGUUGCACUUCUCAUCUAGCGCUUUAAUGGUGUUUAGAAUACGCUGUAGCUCCGUCGGUAGCGUGCCUGUGCUCUCCACGAAAGACUCCAGAUACAUGACGUUCGCUGAAUUGUGAAGUGCCAUGACGCACGGCUGUAUAACGAGCCUAGUAAAGCUAAUAGGUGCGGUAACAAGGUGCGCAAAGACUAAAGCUCGGGGGCCCGGUCAAAACUUGCUGCCCAGCGCGUCACAUCUUAAUGGCCAUGCAAAAGACGCAUAGUAUGCAGCGUGUUAGUAGUCGUGUCAAGUCGUGUCAGUGCCCAGCGCGGGAAAAGGAUCAAACCUUGUCCAAAACCAGCUAAGCUGACAACAAUCACGAAUAAGCUAAUGCGUCUUUAGCGAUAAGCAACAAGCGGAAUGAAAGGCGGACAUUGCGAUUGUAUGCGGCAUGCGCUGGGGCCUGCUGCCUCUGCUGUAAACUGCAGUACUCUACCCUACUGCCUAUGUCAUUUAACCAGUACAGAUGUCCUUACAAAUAGUAUUAAGGGACCUCGACGAAUCGAAACCUGCACUUGCACGACUCGCAAUUCUCGGCUAGGCUUGCUCGAGAGCCAGGACCCAUAUGGAUAGGAGCGGCUUCACCCGGAGGCAUGGCCAAUCAUGCUUGCUAGGGCAGUGGACUGGCAGCUGUAGACCAAACUCUGUCGUGUGCCAGGCGGGUAGGCAAGCGGCGAGCCGCCGUGUCUGCCCCGUCAGCGCGUGGCCGCAGUGCGCAAGCAGCUUGCGUCAGCGUUCUGGCUGCGCUGCUUCCGGCCCUGUGCACACGCACCAUGAAGCUGCCAGCUGGUCGGCAAGCGGCCCCAGCGUCAUCGGCGCUGGCGCCAGCAGCGAUGGCGACGCGCAGACCAGCUCCUCCCCGGCGGCAGGGGCAGCAGCUGACUCGCCGCCGGCGCAGUGGCAUGACGGUGACGUUCUGGAGCUGACCCUGGCAGACGGCCGCAGCGUAUAUGCGGAGGUGGAGGUGCCGGGCGCAGGGGCAGGGGCAGUUACUGCAUCUGUGUCAGGUACGGGAGCAGGUGGGGGCCGUGGAAGCUCAGCACAAGGACGUCAGCGCCAGCAGCAACAGCAGCAGGCACGGCGGUCAGGACGGCACCCACCUGCACCACCACCCGCAGUGGCGGCUGUGGCAGGAGCCAGCGCCCCCGCCAACUUCUCACCCCAUGUCAUAUGUAAUGGCGCCCGAUACAAACUGGAGGCGCACGAGGGCCAGGCUGCGUGGGUGCUGCGGGCAACGUCAGGUGCGCGUCGUUUGUUUAGGCCUACAGGAUUGCCCCUGCAUGUUCGUAAAGAGAUCUAAUCGGGCUUCAGCAGCAAUUCAUGACGUUUGGUACCGUAUCCGCUGCUGUUGCGCUUCACCUCCCCUUGCGCGCCUGUUCAAUACUGCCCUCCCGGCUGCAGGCGCGCUUGCGGCCGGGGACCCCCUGUUGGCCCUGAUGGCCACACCGCCCAAGCCACACACUGCCGCGCUGCGGGCGUGGGCGCCGCUGGCGUCUCAGCUGCUGCGACCUCCGGCGGGAGCUGCCCCUGCAGCACCGGGCUCGGUGGACGUGACCGCGCCAUCGGCCUCCAGCUCGCCGCCAGCCCCAGGCAGGCGCGUUGCGCCUGUGGGGGCGGUGCUUGAUGGCUGUGCUGUGACGACGGUGCGGCGUGUGGGUGGACUGCAGGAGCUGCAGCAGCAGGUGGCAGACAACCCCAGUCUGUGGUGUGACGGGUCAGGUGCGCCAGCCGCUUGGAGGGUGGCUGCUGUCACGGGACCAGUAAGCUCCGUGCUUGCUGCUGCAGCAUACGGUAACGCCGGCGGGGGCCGUCCAGUGUUGCAAGCCGUCCUGCGUGCGCCGCGUAGCGCCGGGCAUUAGUGUCAAGGGCCAGUUGUGGUGUACGAAUGACACCUGCCGGAUCAAAUUUGUUUGAUAGCAGAGCACUCAGUUGCUGUAGACCUCAAACGACCUACCCCACCCGCCCUGCCGGUCCCUAGGCCCUGGCGAACCGCCCCUGACCCCCGACCAGCUGGCGCUCUACACGGCCGCCGAGCUGGCGUGCCUGGCCGCAGGGCGCCGCGGCGUGGUGCUGCUGCAGCUGCACGUGGGCUGGCAGCAGGCGGCCGCGGCGCCGCCCUACGGCCCCUUCAAGCCGCUGGUGCUGCGCCUGCUGCGCCAGCUGCUGGCCAGCCCUGGCAAGGAGCUGCAGCUGGUGUCAUUCGCCAGCGCCGCGCCGGACCCAAGCAGUCCAGGCGGCAAGUCAUCCGCGGGACUGACCAUGGUGCUGUGUGCGGACAAGGAGCCGUUCAGGUCGUGGGGCGCACACCUGGCCGGCUUUGGAUGUCAGGUGCGUGCGUGCGGGCUUUCGUGGUAAUACCGAGCCGUGUUCCUGAACCCGUUAGCCCAGCUGCCAUGUCCACCCACGGAGCCGCGGCGUUGGGGCUCGCACCCUGUCUCCUUGGCAAGCUUCCUCUUUGAACGCGCUCCCCAGGCCGCACUGGAGGCCCAGUCCCCCUACUACAAGGCGCUGAUUGGGCGGGUGCUGGGCUACAGCCCCGACAACAUCGCGCACCACAUCCGGGUGAGCCGCGAAGGGCGGUGGGUAGCGCAGACAGGCUGGCAGGCGUGGCCAGACCUAAAUGGACGGAUGACGGGACUGAGCCAACCCCCCUCCUCCUUGCCACUGCAGGAGAAGCACGGGGCGCCGCCUUCCUCCGAGGUACUGGCGGCGGUGGAGCGGCAGCUGGGCGCCCUCAGCACAAAGCAGCCGCAGCUGCCCUGGACGGCGGGGGCGAGGGGCAGCCGCAAGAAGGCGGCUGCAUAGCCGCAUGCCUUGUUGGGCUGAUGGCGGUUGUAAACUAUCAGAGAUUCAGAGCGCGGAUGCCGGUAGUGCACGUUACAGUUGGAAUGUCGCCAGCUGUGAAAUCUCAGGACUGAUGGCGGUAGGUCAGUAGGUGGUCGCGAUGCGGGCACAGCGGCAGCGACACAGACAGCAGGACAGCAGCCUCGUGGUUACAGCUCGACGGGAAGCAAAAGCACGAUGUCACCAUCGCGUACCCGUCUAGAUACCAGACUCAACCCAGAGCUAUCAAAUGCACCGCCUGCGUGUAUCUGCUGUAAUGCUAUCGCCUGCUUAUGGCGCCCUAGAUUGUUACGCCAGGACACCGGAAUCCAGCUAGCCGACUAUGAAUGCCGGCUGCAGUGGGUAUUGAGUUCCACCCGAGGGUAGACCUAAGGCAUCGCCAUCAAUUCAUUCAAUUGCCAUGUUCCUUAGCCAUGCUACUCACGAUACGUAGUGAGCACCGGCCAUUGGGUCACUCUAUGGUGCAUUCAAGGCCUCCUGCCUAUUGAGUUGCCUGGAGUUGCUAAAUCCGCUCCUGCCGUCUACACCAAAUCCUAGCGCGCAUGCCCCUGCUCACACCGACGGCCCAAAGUCCCGAUUCUUGAGUAUGGCCGGCGCCACCACCGACCAGCCGUACAGCAGCGCACACGCCCAGCUGCUGGCCACCUUGACCCAGGUGGAGCCCCAGGAGGAGCGCGUGUCGGGCGUGAAGCCGGGCGAGAAGUGUGACACCUGCCAGUUGGUGAACAGCAUGGCGAUGUAGGCGGAGCUCCUGCGGGCGCGCGUGUGUGCGCGGACGUGCAAAACCCAAGGGGCAUCAGUCUAGGAAGCACGUGCUGGCGAUACACCGCAAUUGGAGUGAGCGCGGAACGUGAUACGCACGCGUUCAGUGCAGGGCCCGGGGGGUGACGGGCUUUAUGUUCGGUGUUCUGAGGCGGCCAGGAGCAGUGCAGGCUGUUCAGGUGCACGCUGCCGCGGGGUCUCACGUGCAGAACACCACGUGGAAGAAGUCUGGGCGGUAGGGCAGCUCCGCCUCGUCGCCGCCCUUGACCCCGAACAUGUCCUUGCUGGAGAUACCUGGGGGUAGAGGUGGAGGCAAGAGGGGGAUGGGUUGACGUUUGGCAACCGGCGCGUUGAGGGAACGGCUGCGUGACAGCCGAAACAGUGUGUCGUGAGGUAGCGACAGACGUGUGUCUGCAGCGGCCAACAGCGCGCAGCAGACGCUGCAUGCAGGACUAGGCAGGUCUAGGCGGGCCGCGUACGUAUGAUGCAUCUGAGGCGGGUCGGUUAGGCGGCGCCCCCACAUGGGGAGGCGCCCCCUGGCAUUACAUGCAACUCCCCCCCCCCCCUUGUGGCCCGCCGCGCACCCACCUGCCGAGUAGGUGGAGUACAUGACUGCAGCCAGAGCGAUGAAGAACGCGACCACACCCACCCAGCCCGCGCUCACGCCGCCGGACCGGGCGCAGUCGCUGGGCACGGGCUCGGACGCCAGCGCUGAGUAGAUGAGGUAGGAGCAGUAGAGCCACACGCAGCCGCUGGUGAGCAGGCCCGCGGAGGCCGCCCGGCCAGGGAUGAACAGGACGCCCACCAGCGCCAGACCAAUGAUGAGGUUCCACGUCACGAAGAAGAUGUUCUUGGAGGAUGGGGGGAGGCAUGGGAGUGAGGCAAGGUUCUUGACGAGCACGGGAAGGAGCACAGAUUCCGUUCUUAGGUCAAAGCGCCGGGCGCUUACGAGGCGCGUACUUAGCACGAAACCUAGUGUGCAUGUACACGUGCCGGUACGCCGUAUGCGAGGACAGUGAAUGCUCCAGCACGGUGGGGAGGCAAGUAUGCACAAACGCAAGGCGCCCAUCACCACCAAAACCCGAGUCGUGGACACCACUCACUAGGGAGCAUGAUGCGCGGGGCGCAUAGAAGUGGUAGUCUAUGCCGGUGAGGACCUGAACAGGGGGAAGGAGGUGAGGGGUAGGUGAGUGGCGUUGAGAGCCUGAGGCAUGGGCCACAUGCGCAUGAGGUCUACCGGCACAGGCCCCUUUCCUCCUGUGCACGGCACCCGGCGGUGAACAUUUGGGCCCCUGACCCACUCGUGCAGGUCCCGGCAACCUCCCUCCCCCCCCCGCCGCGCUCACCAGUCCCAGGCAGAAGGCCGCCACUGCCCCGCUAAUGAGCACCGCCCAGGCCGCCUUGUUGUCCGUAUCCACAAGCCAUUCGUUGAUCUGCAAGGCCGCGCAAGGCCAUGCGCAGCAAGGGCAAACUAUUACAAAAGCCGGAGGAACGGUUAACGGCCAUUGCGCUUCACUGUUCUUGCCAUAGUUCCCUACCCACUCCCCACUCCCCCCACCCGAGCCCCCGCUAUCUCCACCCCUCCCCCCCACCUCGUACACGAAGUUGACCAGCAGUAUGAGCUGCAGCACCAGGAACAGCCCACUGGCGUAGCGGCUAAACUGGCCGUAGCCGUACAAGAUGGAGCUGGGCAACCACAUGAAGCCGACCAGCAGGCCCAGCCAGGACAGCACCUGCAAGUGGGAGGUGGGGUAGGUGGGCAGGCGGGCACUACGACGCAGGGCAAGCGCGAGGGGUUAUGGUGGAUGGGUACCAGACCCGAUGCCCUGAAACACCGCCCUCAUCACGUGCAUCUCGAUAAGCUCCCCUGCCCUCCGCGCACCUGCCACACCCACAGCCCUGCGUGUAGGUUCACCCGCACGUCCUCCACCCUCGUCAGGGCAACGCAAGCCAGGAGGUGUGCCCCGAAGAACACCAGGUUCGCCAGAGACACACGCAGAGCCACCUGAGGCCGGAGCGCAGGAGCGAGCGACACCAAAUGGACAAGGCAAGGUGCUGAGUUGUACUAUACAUGGCCCCGCAGCCACAUUGUCAGACAGAUAGGAUUAGCCUGCGCGCCCCCCAGUUCGCUAAUGCCACCCACACUACACCCCCACCACCACCACCACCACUACCUCCACCCGUCACCCACACACCUGCUGGCCCGCGCACUCCUCGACGGCGUCUUGGUUGUCAGCCUGAGGCAUCAGGCCCGGAGUAAGGUGAGGCAUGUGUUGGGUGGCGGUUUUCGUUCAUCAUGCGCGUCGUAAUGCUCGGCUUAUGCACUGGCCCGUCACCAGGAGUCAGGGGCUAGGUACCCGACCGCGCCCCAGCCCAGCCCCCGGCGCUCACGGCUCACCGACAGGCAGUCACUGAACGAGCUGAUGUUGUUGGCCAUGAAGCCGCCGCCGUAGUCCCUCAGACACCACACCUGAGCGUGGGUGCAUGCCGGCGUGCGUGGCGUGUGCGUGUUGAUGUGCAAUGCAGCCGUGCCGAGAGGUUGCGGUGCGCAAUGUGAAGUAGUACCUUGCAUCACCUCUUACCGCGAUAGCUGUCGCCGAAAAUCCAACGCAGUAGAACCAUUUGGCUGCUGUGAACCGAGUUCUCAAGCCCACGUCCCAGGCAUUGCAGCAGAACAACGCCCGGCACAUGCUGCCCGCUGCCUGCCUGCUGAGUCCGCUACCUGCUACCUGCUACCCGCGGCAAGUCGUCCACGCUCUGAGUGCCACCGGCUGGUAAGGCGCCUGGGCUGUUGUGGUCACGAUUGUCUCUGUGCGAGGCGUUGGGCGGGAUACGUAACUGGACGGGUGCAGGUUCCCCAGCAGGUCCUGUCCCGCAGGGUCGGCAGCGGCGCUACCAGGCAGCGGGUACCUACUAAUCGUUACCUUCAGACGUGGCUGAGGGUGCGAGUAUGUAACACAAGUAUCAAGUAUAGCAGAUAUAAACAGUAGAGGCCCAAGCUACUUGCAAAAGGCUUCCGCUGUCUGCAGCUGCACUCCAGGACCGCGCCAAAAUGAAACAAAGUCUGAAUGCUUUGUAAGCUAUCAAUAGCGUUUUCUCAUGGAUUGGACGCUCGCGGACGCCCAGUUUGGAAAGGCCAAGACUCGUCCGACCAGUUGAAGCCGAGAAUGCGUUUCUUGUAUAAUCACAAAGAAGCAAGAAUGUUGUGCAGAUAGGGAAUAUUGAGUGAUGCAUGGUAAGCGAUCCGAGCUGCGUCAGUGGUAUACGAUCAAACAAGGGAAACUGCGGGGAGCCGUGUCUUGUGUCCACCACGGUCCACCAGCCCGACCCCCCCGCCUCCAUUCUGACCCUGGUAAUGGUCCUGACACUCGACAUCUAGCUGCCCAAUUCAGCUCACACCGAAUUCAUAACAUGCAAUAGCUACACCUAUUCCAGUCAAAGCUUGAUGAGCCCUUCAACUGACACAUCGGUGGGCGCCGGUGUCUCCAGGUUGGUUCUGUGGCCCAGCGUGUUUUCCGGUGCCUCCAGCGCCUACCCGCCAGCCGUCCGCCAGCCCAGCCAUCACGUCGACCAGCGUCUACGCAGUUUGCCAGCGGCGGCCCUCGUCAGCCCUCUGUGUUCAUCGUCCAUUUCGUCUGCGCUACUUGCGGUUGACAACCUUUUCCAUCAUCCUGCGUCCUACUGGUUGGGCUCGGCCCAUAACCUCUCGACCCCGCCCAGACACAGCCUACAUCCGACUUCAAGGGGGGUCGCUCACGAGGGCACCAGGCGCGACAGUAGCGUGUAUGUUCCUCCCGCCACCAGCAGUACCCCGCUGGCCGGAGUCACCCAGGCCGAGUACUGCCGCAGAGCCAGGAGCUGCUUCACAGUGCCCUGAGGGAAAGAAGGGACAGGACGAGGGGGCAGGGAACGAUAUGGACGCGAGCAAAAUGAAAGAAACGGGGACUAGACAGGGGGCGCAAGACGGGGGCGUGUAUUCGUGCUGUAUGUGUACCUGCAUGUAACACUGCGCCUUCUCGUAGCUCCACCUUCAUGCCGCCGCACCACUAACGCACCGCUGCCGAUCAGGUGUAACCCAGACACCAGCGCACAUCCCGAAUUCUCAACCAAGAAGCAGCCUCAUCCACCCUGCAAUCCUUAUGUCCUCUAUCUCUGCCCUCUGCGCCUUCUCCCUCAGCGCACGCACCGUGAACGAGGCCGCCAGCAGCAGGGGCGCCACGUAGCCGCACGUGUAAGCCAGCAGCAGGCUGCCGCCUUCCAGCGGGUCGCGGGUGGACGACACGUACGCCAGAAGCGUGGCUAGAACCGGUGUGCUGUUGAGGGGAAUGGAGUGUUCGGAUCGCUUGCGCCAUGACAAAUAACAAUUAGAUGCGACUCAGGUGGGGUGCUAGUGGUUACUGGGAUGUAUGGAGGGAAAUGCAAGCGUCGCGAGAGGCGUAGUGCGACUCAUUCAGACGUAAGCACUGCUCAAGCUGACGAUGAAAGGGCUACAAGUCCCGCACAUGCGCCACACGCGCACAUAAUGCACAUGCAAGCCAAGCCCGCUCAUACGCCCACCCACCUGCACGGAGAUGCCGCCAGUGCGAAUGUGGCGCCCGCCAGGUACGCCUGCAGCGCUGGGGGCACUGGGGCCUUGCGCACGUCCACAUCCGGCAUCAGCGAGGGCAGCUGCAGCUGCACCACCUCCAGCAGGUUCAGCCCCAUCAGCACCGCCACCAGCCCCACCGCGAUGGGCAGCUCGUUGCCGAUCUGGCCGUAGGCGCGGCCCAGGAAGGAGCUGACCACGCCCAGCACCGCUAGCGUGGUGGCCAGGCCGAACGAGAACGACACGGCCUGCAAGUGAAGGGCCAGUCAUUGAGACUAUGUGAUGCCCCUGGCGCGCUGUCAGGACCCGUGCAUCCCAUCCACCCGAUACUGGCAACUGCUUUUAUAGCUCACCUGCAGUCCCAGGUUGGGCUUGCUGGCACCAUUGCCGUUGUCGUCCUGGCUAUACCCGCCGAUGUACCCGAUGGUCAGGGGCAACACGCUGAGCGUGCAAGGCGACAGGCUCGUCACCAGACCCGCACCCAGCACUGCCAGGUAUGUCAACGGCGUGACACCUGCGUGUUCAAAAUCCAAGCGCGCUUUAGCGAGCUGGCCCCAGCGACGUCUGCCACACACGACGCACCAGUGAGUUGCUGCGACACCAGCGCAUCGGCGCUUUGCCCUGCAGCGAAAAGCCCUUGUACCAGAUCCUGGGCUUGGUCAGAUAGUUCAUACAGUUCCUGGGGCAGCAACGAAACAGCAAAUUAUCAUCCAUCAGAAUCUCUUUGUGUAUUCCGGCCUCGACUGCUGCUUACCUGGCCGGACACCGCACGCAGCUGACGUUUUAGCGAUUUUGAGCUAGCGACGCGUACAGGACAUGGCUUGAACAGUGCCAGCUGACGACUAGGCAGCGCGUACAAGUUGGUGUGGCACUGAGGCUGCGCUAAAUGCAUGGCGGUUCGCAUAAUGUUUGCAGUGAGAUUGAAAUGCUGAGCUGUAUAAACAAAUCCAGCUGAAGCCUUGGCAAGGCAGGCUGCAUUUUGGCUGCUGUGUGCUGCAUUGGCUGCGGUAGACUCUCCACCCCCCAACCCCCAAUCCGGCGCCCGCCCCGCCUCCACGCAAACCAUGAAACACGCAACAUCCGUCGCAAUUCACACUCCACGCACCAACAACACGUCAACAACUGCGCAAACUUGUAACACGCGCCCCGAGCCUCGCCCCCCCACACACCCACACAAACGCCAGCUACAAAUGGCCAAGCCCCAAACUGGGAUGCAAGUACACAUACGAAAUUAAUCAGGUAGGGUUGAAGAGCUAGUCCGCGACACGAUGGCCCCCCCCAUCAGCCGACGCCCGUGGAGCGAUGAGAGAGCUCACCCUGCGCUUGCACCACCGCACACGCGCCAACCAACGGCGAAAUGGCCGCGCAUUUGCACAGUGAAAGCGCCAACACAUCCCCGGACUAGCCCGCCAACAAGCUUCGCCCGCAGUCGGUUGCAAGUGCCUGGCGAACCUCCAAAUCCCAAACUGACCCACGCCCCGCCGAAGCACGCCAUAUCUGCACACUGCGCGGCGCGUAACACCGCGCAAGCGCACCCGAAGCCCAUUGAGGUGCCCAUCCGUGCAACCCGUCCCUGCCGGCGCCUAAACUUGUCCGCCCGCCCACCCACCCACACGCCCGCAAACCACCACAGCACACCACGUUGAGCACUCCAACUGCACGCACGCGCUCUGUACAACCACCAGCACAAUCCCCGAGCCCCCAAGUCGGACGGGGCCUGUGAGGCAGCCUCCCGCCUCGCCCCACAAGCCCACAGCCACGCCUCCCCACAACCCCACUCACCCGACCUGCUCGCCGGGGCCGCUCGCCUGCGCUGACCAACUGCUUUGGCUGCUCCAGGCUGCCGAAGCCAGCCCUCCCGCCCCAACUGCUGAAUUCGCUGCUGCAUCCAUGAGGCACAUAGAGAGGCAAUAGUGUGGACAUUUCUCUCGUUACAAUCCCUUCACCACCCGGCUGCACCGGCCGCACACGCUCCACAGCGCCAGCACGCCCGUCCAAAACGCGCGAACUGAACGUUCGCCGCAUAGCUCCAGCCGCCAACUCAGCUGCAUCGCAUGCGGCGGCCGCCAGUUCCACGCCCAGAGCUCCACUCCAGCUUGCUACAGGCCGCUUACUCCUCGUCCUCAGCCUCGUUGUCGGCAAUGUUGAAGUACCGGAGCUCGUAGACGUUGCGGUCCUUGUUGGAAGCAAUGACGCGCAGCCAGUCGCGCACGUUGUGCUUCUUCAGGUACUUCUUGGUGAGGUACUUCAGGUAGCGCUUGCUCAGCUGGGACUCAGCAGUCACGGUGACCUUGGUCUUCUCCUUGGCCACCUUGAUAGAGUCGCCCAGCACGCCGGUCUUGCCGUCCACCUUGAUCUUGUCCAUCAGGAACUUCUCAAACGAGGAGAUGUCCAUAAUCUUGUCCUCCACCGGCUUGGAGCAG
rnacentral:lncRNA from 1 species